rnacentral:rRNA from 1 species
UACGGAGGGUGCAAGCGUUAUCCGGAUUCACUGGGCGUAAAGGGUGCGUAGGCGGGUUUUUAAGUCAGAGGUGAAAUCCUGGAGCUCAACUCCAGAACUGCCUUUGAUACUGAGAAUCUUGAGUUCGGGAGAGGUGAGUGGAACUGCGAGUGUAGAGGUGAAAUUCGUAGAUAUUCGCAAGAACACCAGUGGCGAAGGCGGCUCACUGGCCCGAUACUGACGCUGAGGCACGAAAGCGUGGGGAGCAAACAGG